rnacentral:rRNA from 1 species
GAUGAACGCUGGCGGCGUGCCUAAUACAUGCAAGUCGAGCGAACAGACGCGGAGCUUGCUCCUCUGACGUUAGCGGCGGACGGGUGAGUAACACGUGGAUAACCUACCUAUAAGACUGGGAUAACUUCGGGAAACCGGAGCUAAUACCGGAUAAUAUAUUGAACCGCAUGGUUCAAUAGUGAAAGACGGUUUUGCUGUCACUUAUAGAUGGAUCCGCGCCGCUUUAGCUAGUUGGUAAGGUAACGGCUUACCAAGGCAACGAUGCGUAGCCGACCUGAGAGGGUGAGCGGCCACACUGGAACUGAGACACGGUCCAGACUCCUACGGGAGGCAGCAGUAGGGAAUCUUCCGCAAUGGGCGAAAGCCUGACGGAGCAGCGCCGCGUGAGUGAUGAAGGUCUUCGGAUCGUAAAACUCUGUUAUUAGGGAAGAACAAAUGUGUAAGUAACUAUGCACGUCUUGACGGUACCUAAUCAGAAAGCCACGGCUAACUACGUG